CAAACUGCGGCUUCUCGACUCUUCCACUGAUGAUAGUGGCGUCGCUAUUAUAAGUCACCAUUUCCUAUCGGAAAGUCCACCACCAUAUCUCUUCGCAAACGGCGAAUCUCUCUAUAAUCACUUCCUUCGUUUCUGCUGUCAGUAAGUUUUUGCAGCUUUAUCUAAUCCGAUAUUCUUUGACUGUGAGAAUCAAUCAACGAUGACUCAUAUCCUUCCGUAGAUCAGCUUUUUCUCCACGAUUCCGACGGUUUGUUGUUUCUUAGCUCUGUUUGGUUUUCCCGGGAAAACCAAAGAAAAAAAAAAUUAUUAACUUUCCGAUCUUGCACAGAAGAACGAGAAUUAAAGAUUUUGAAGCUUGAUUUUCCUCGAUUUGUUUUUCCUCGGGAACCAAACAGAUAACAUAUGUGGAAUUUGAUAGCUAAAAGGAAUGGUUUUGUUUCGUGAUCUUGUUUCUCUGUUUGUUUGGCUUUAACUGAAGCGAACGCGGUAACCAGAGAAACCGAGACCGUGAGCGGGCCCAGGCCCGUUACGGUAGCAAGCCCAGGCAUCCCAAAAGCGACGGUCUCACCCCGGAGCAACGCCGUGAAAGGGAUGCGAAAGCGCUACAGGAAAAGGCGGCGAGGAAAGCGG